AAUGAGAGAAAAUUCUGUUUUGUCUUUACAAAAAAAUGCUUUUACAAAGCGUUCACUUGAAGAAAAAAAACAGGAUAAAGGAGCUUGGACCGGACCGUCCCAAUUUACAAAUUCAGCAGCAGGCAAGUGAUCGUGGACGAUCCUACACGCGGGCUUUUUCCAGCUCUUCUUAUGACAAGCGGAGUUGGCUAGCUGGAUGUGAUGUAAGCAAUGCCUUUUACUGCUUUCCGUGUUUGCUAUUUCAAAGUUCUGGCACGGAGGCAAUGUGGACAACAACUGGGCUUUUUUUCCAGAUCAUCCAAGCGCACAAGCGUUCUUGAUAAAGUUGUGGCCCACAGACUACCAGCAUCCAGCAAUGUCAGAUGGAACUUUCACAGCCGUGCCAUCAAUACUGUGUUUGAGCACAGAGAGGACCUCAUCCGCUGUUUCCAAAGCAUACAAGACUGGUGAGUUUGACCCCAUUACCGUCAGAGAGGCUGGAGCAUUUGCCAUGCUACUGGAGGAUCAGGAUUUUAAGUUCUUUCUGCAACUUUUCCACCAUAUCAUGCCUCAUGUGGACCUUCUCUAUGCCAAACUCCAGAAGAAGGUCAUAGAUUCAGUCUGUAUCCAGGAGAGCAUCCAACAGUUCCAGCAGGACAUUCAAAAGAUCAGGUCUGUGAUAUCAUACUGGGACACACCAGGGAGCGCUUUUCUUUCACAAACCACCUUGUUAGUGCCACACUCCUGCAGGGGGACAGAUUUGAACAAUACAACACAGCAUUUCCUGAAGAUGCACUGAGCAACACCUUAAAAGCCUAUCCAGUGCUCAAUCGAGGUAAGCUGAAGACAGAGCUUACUCUCAUCUACAGCAAGGAAGAGUUCAAAGCCUGUUGUGGUGCUGUGGGCCUACUCCAGCUGUUUAUGGAAAACCAUCUAGAAGAAGUCUUUUCAGAAACUGUCACGCUCUUGAAGAUCCUCAUCACCACACCCAUGACCACAGCAGAAGCUGAAAGGUGCUUUUUAACUCUGAAAAGAAUCAAGACUUUUCUGAGAAACUCAAUGACUCAGGACAGGCUGAAUGCAUUGGCCAUGUUGUCAAUGGAGAAAAGACUAGUCACAGAGAUGAGUGACUUUAACAAGAAUGUAAUUGAGAAAUUUGCAGGGCAGAAGGAAAGGAGGGCAAAAUUCAUGUUCAUAUAGUGCUAUUUUUUAAGAUUUGUUUUGUUUGUUUUUCAUUUGUUUGUUUGUGUGCGCCCCCCUCAGUUUUUUUAGCACCAGCUGCCACUGGCACACAGCUAUCUCCCUGGACAGCUGGGGCUGCUUUGCAGAUUGCUUGGGUGAGUGUGGUAGAGAUGGCGUGGAUGGUGACUGGGGCUCUGGCUGGGGAACUAGGGGAAACGAUUGAUGCAGCUGACACUGGGGGCUCUGACGUGAGAGGCCUGCCUGACUGUGGCUCCAGAGAGUUUUCUCUUUGCGGUCCUGUGAAAAAGUAAGUACACCCCAUGAUUCAGCAGCUAACAGAACCCCCUUUAGUGGCAAUAACUUUAACAGAUUUUUUCUGCAUGACUCUCACAUCAUUGUGGAGAAAUUUUGGCCCUCUCCUCUUUAAAAUGUUGCAUCAACUCACUGAAUCAGGUUGAGAUCUGGACUUUGACUGGGCCAUUGUAACACCUUCAUUACCUCACCCGCUGACUGACAGGUGGAGGGAGGUUAUGUUUUCACCCGUUUGUUUGUCUGUCUGUCAGCAAUAUAACUCAAAAGGUUU